rnacentral:lncRNA from 1 species
UUCUAUGUUGGUGUAUGUGUAUGGUUCCCAAUUAGAGGCAGCUGAUAAUCGUUACCUCUAAUUGGGGAUCAUACUUAGUGUGUCCCUUUUCCCACCUGCGUUGUGGGAUAUUGUUUGUGUGAGUGCUUAUGUAAUUCUUUGUUUUGAAGUUUCACUGUAAUAAAUAUGUGUAACUCUACUCACGCUGCGCCUUGGUCCGAUUUAUUUAUAUAACGAUCGUGACACUCUCUUUCUCUGUCUCUCUCUGUCAGGCUCUCUCUUGUCUGUUCAUAAGCUCAUAUCAUUCUAAAGCCAAACACCAGCAUCUGGUUAAUUGGAAUCAGAACAGCCCACAGGAUCCUUCUUCAAAUAUCCUGGUUCACUGUCCAAGUCUAUCUAUUUCCUUAUCGUCCCCUCCUCCUCUGCCCCCAUAUAUUUUGGUUCAGUGUCAAUAAGAAAAUAACAUAAAACAUGCUGCAAGAUCAAAAAGCUGAAAGAUGUUCAGGGGGCUGGGCGGGAUUUGCUUUACUCUUCACGCUUGGACUGGUGUCUUGGAGAAAAGCAGGGGCUCUCUUCAAUAAAUGGUCCAUACCACAGUACCCUUUUAACAGCUUUAUACAUUGGUUUUGCAUUAUUUAUCCAGUCAAGGCCUGGGCCAUUUAUUAGGAGACUCUCUGUCCAACAACCACAUACUUUGUUUUGUUUGGGGGGAGAGAGAGAGAAGGAGAGAGAGAGAGAAAGAGAGGUGCACUUUUUAGGGGGAUAGUGCAAUCUCAUGAGAGCUUAAAACAUUGCCUUUUUCCUCCAGGAUGGAAAUACCAAUGCGUUAUUGAGAGGAAAUGUUCACACAAUUAUUUUCAAUAAGAUAAGAUAAACUUGGUCAGAUAUGUAAAAAGCGUGAACUGCCAGGAAUCAUUAUUUAAAUUACUUUGGAUUUCCACAGCCAUAACAAAUUUUCUUCCAAGAAUGUCUCCUCAGCUUCCAUGAACAGUAAUACUCCAAAAAUGUCAAUUUCCUAUUCACCUCGCUACCCUCCAACUUCCUGCCAAAGGGAGGGAGCUGGAGAACAGAGAGUUCAUGGAUGAGAGCAUCCUGAAUCCAUUUCAAUGUAAUCUCAGAGGUGACUAUACCAGAGAGAUAGCCACAGACCUUUAACAGUCUGCUAGCCUCUAAUCCGCUUAAGGAUCAGGUUGAUAUAAGUUGUUCUUGUCUUUCUGAGAGACACCCUGAGAGUAAAUAUUUCAUCAGAUUUCAGGUCUGAGCUCUUCAUCCUGCUGCUGGAGCCCCACUGCUCUGUCUGUGUCGGGCUGUCAGGGUCAUCAUUGGGCUGAGCCAUUAUAACCCAGAUUCUCUGCACACAGUUAAUAGGAUUUGACUGAACCUGUCCCUGCGCAGCCGGCAGCCAUACGUUUCCCUCGCCCCCUUGUAUCAAGCAGGUCCCGGAGUGAACGUAACACUUGUACACUUGCAAAGCCGACUAAAAACGAGGGCUGAGGGGCUUACGUUGCAAACUUCCCUUGCUUGGCUAAUCAUUUGGACUGCCCUCCAAGAUGGUGACGGGGAUUGCCCCAAGAUCAUAAGGCGAGGACAAAGGGGCCACUUCUGAUUGACCGGAGCGCUGAAAAUGACAGCUGAGGUCAAGCUAUUGAAUGCUGACUGGGUGCCAUUGGGCAUUGAUAUUCAUGUCAUUUGAGGAGCCAAAUCUAUGGACAGGCUGAGGAUGUCCUUAUUGAUCACAGAUCCAGGAUCACAGUCACUGCAUUAUAAAGAGGGCCUCUCUGACCUGAUGAAAGACUUCUCCCACAAGUUCUGAAAACUUUGAGUGGGAGGUAAUGGAGCCUACAGAGGAGACAGUGAUCAGUGAGGGCAGGAAGGAAGGAGACAGUGGAGAGAAGAGGAUCAGCCAUUAAAGGUGAGCUGAGCGGGAAUGCAUGGUUCCCUCCACACCCACGCCAUUCUGCUACAGGAUAAACAAGAGUGAGAGAGAGAGAGAAAGAUCAAGAAAUGCAUCAGAUUUCAUUUCAAAGAGACAAAAAUGGGGAAGUGCAUUAAGAAUUCAAAUCAAACACAAAGUAAAGCAAAUACCAUCAGCCGCAAAUCAUCGGCUCCCUCUGAAACAGAAUCAAAGCAAGUCUCCCCCUAAAAUCCUGAAAGCGGCUUCAGAUAAUAGAAUUUGAAUGUGCAGAAUUGUUUUACAAUUUGUUUUCCAUUUGGUGUCUAAAAGGUGACAUGCUUACCAAGCAUCAAGCUACUUUGAACUUUUUACUUCUGAGGUGUCAUUCUGGUAUGUAACAAUACUAUACCACAUAGUGUAUUUCCUUGAUAUCAUGCUCCCAUUUUCCACUAUACAAAAUUUGCAGCUUCUGUGGUCCCAACCUGGUCUCAGAGCAUUUCAUAUUAUUCUGAACGUAAACCAUUUCAUAUGCUAUAUUACGAUUUACAAUUUGCAUUAUAUGUUACGUAUUUGACAAACGUACAAUAUGUUACGAAUUUGCAAAACAUAUGAUAUGUUACAAAUUCUAGCUAGUUGGCUAACGUUAGCUGUUACGAAUUUGCAAAUGUACAAUAUGUUACGAAUUUGCUAAACAUAUGAUAUGUUACGAAUUCUAGCUAGGUGACUAACAUUAGCUAGCUGGCUAACGUUAGCAAGACUAUGGGUUAGGAUUAAGGUUAGGUUUAAGUUUAAGAGUUAGGUUAAAGUGUUAGGGGAAGGGUUAGUUAAAAGGCGUAAGGUUAGGGUUAGGGGAAGCAUUAGCUAACAUGCUAAGUAGUUGUAAAGCUGCUAAAAAGUUGCAAGUAGUUGAAAAGAUGCUAAUUAGCCAAAAUUAUAAAGUUGUCCGUGAGGAGAUUCGAACUCGCAACCUUUGGGUUGCUAGACAUUCUACUUUCGUUUUUGCUUUAACCUGUCUGGGCUAGGGGGCAGUAUUUUCACGGCCGGAUGAAAAACGUACCCAAUUUAAACAGGUUAUUACUCUGGCCCAGAAACUAGAAUAUGCAUAUUAUUAGCAGAUUUGGAUAGAAAACACUCUGAAGUUUCUAAAACUGUUUGAAUGGUGUCUGUGAGUAUAACAGAACUCAUAUGGCAGGCAAAAACCUGAGAAAAAGUCAACCAGGAAGUGGAGGAUCUGAGAAUUGUAUUUCUUCUUUCUAGUCCCUUUCGAAACUACAGUAUCUGUGGGGUUACUUUGCACUUCCUAAGGCUUCCAUUGGCUGUCAAAAGCCUUCAGAAAGUGGUUUGAGCAUUCUCCUGUCACUGGGCAGAUAAUAGGAGCUCAGUUACUGAGUGGACUGCCUGGCAACAAAGCGAUUGGAUAUGCUCGAUCCCGCGAGUGCGCCCCUCCUUCUUUUUCUCCUUGAAUGAAUACGCUAUUGUCCGGUUGGAAUAUUAUCGCAAUUUUACAUAAAAAAUACCAUAAAGACUGAUUUUAAACAGCGUUUGACAUGCUUCUAAGUACAGUAAUGGAACAUUUAGACUUUUCGUCUCUGGUACCGCACUCGCGCGUUAUGCCUUUGGAUAGUGCUCUGAACGCACGAACAAAACGGAGGUAUUUGGACAUAAAUAUGUAUUAUUUCAAACAAAAACAACAUUUCUUGUGGAAGUAGCAGUCCUGGGAGUGCAUUCUGACGAAGAUCAGCAAACGUAAGAGAAUAUUUCUAAUACUAAUUCUGAGUUUAGGUUGCCCCGAACUUGACGGGUGUCUGUAUAGCUCUCUGUGAUGGCUGAGCUAUGUACUCAGAAUAUUGAAAAAUGUGCUUUCUCCGUAAAGCUAUUUUAAAAUCUGACAAAGCGGUUGCAUCCAGGAGUAGUCUAUCUAUAAUUCUUUAAAUAAUUGUUAUAUAUUUUGUCAACGUUUAUGAUGAGUAUUUUUGUAAAUUGAUGUGCAC